UGGGGAAUUUUGGACAAUGGGCGCAAGCCUGAUCCAGCCAUGCCGCGUGCGGGAAGAAGGCCUUCGGGUUGUAAACCGCUUUUGUCAGGGAAGAAAUCUUCUGAGUUAAUACCUCGGGAGGAUGACGGUACCUGAAGAAUAAGCACCGGCUAACUACGUGCCAGCAGCCGCGGUAAUACGUAGGGUGCAAGCGUUAAUCGGAAUUACUGGGCGUAAAGCGUGCGCAGGCGGUUUUGUAAGACAGAGGUGAAAUCCCCGGGCUCAACCUGGGAACUGCCUUUGUGACUGCAAGGCUUGAGUGCGGCAGAGGGGGAUGGAAUUCCGCGUGUAGCAGUGAAAUGCGUAGAUAUGCGGAGGAACACCGAUGGCGAAGGCAAUCCCCGUGGGCCUGCACUGACGCUCAUGCACGAAAGCGUGGGGAGCAAACAGGAUUAGAUACCCUGGUAGUCACGCCCUAAACCGAUGUCAACUGGUUGUUGGGAAGGUUCCUUCUCAGUAACGUAGCUAACGCGGUGAAGUUG
rnacentral:rRNA from 1 species